rnacentral:rRNA from 1 species
UACGGGAGGCAGCAGUGGGGAAUCUUAGACAAUGGGCGAAAGCCUGAUCUAGCCAUGCCGCGUGAGUGAUGAAGGUCUUAGGGUCGUAAAGCUCUUUCGCUAGGGAUGAUAAUGACAGUACCUAGUAAAGAAGCCCCGGCUAACUCCGUGCCAGCAGCCGCGGUAAU